CUGCUGCCUUCCGUAGGAGUCUGGGCCGUGUCUCAGUCCCAAUGUGGCCGUUCAACCUCUCAGUCCGGCUACUGAUUGUCGACUUGGUAGGCCGUUACCCCACCAACUAUCUAAUCAGACGCGAGUCCAUCCUUAGGCGCCUCAGCUUUGGUAUAUCUACGAUGCCGUUAAUAUACUUUAUAUGGUAUUACCGUCCGUUUCCAGACGCUAUCCCUUUCCUAAGGGCAGGUUACUCACGCGUUACUCACCCGUCCGCCACU
rnacentral:rRNA from 1 species